UCAAGAAACUUCCACAAUGGGCGAAAGCCUGAUGGAGCGACGUCGCGUGAUGGACGAAGUGCUUCGGCACGUAAACAUCUUUUUAUGUGGGAUGAAAUUAUUGACAGUACCACAUGAAUAAGGGGCUCCUAACUCUGUGCCAGCAGGAGCGGUAAUACAGAGGCCCCAAGCGUUAUCCGGAAUCACUGGGCGUAAAGGGUGUCGAGGCGGUUGUAUUAGUCGUUCGUAAAAUCUACGAGCUUAACUUGUAGGCGGCGAACGAAACGGUACGACUUGAGGUUUGGAGAGGUGCGUGGAACUCACGGUGUAGGGGUGAAAUCCGUUGAUAUCGUGGGGAACACCAAAGGCGAAGGCGGCGCACUGGCCAAAAUCUGACGCUCACACACGAAAGCUAGGGUAGCGAAGAGGAUUAGAUACCCGAGUAGUCCCUGAGCGGGCUGGCAAGGCGCAU
rnacentral:rRNA from 1 species